rnacentral:rRNA from 1 species
UACGAAGGGGGCUAGCGUUGCUCGGAAUCACUGGGCGUAAAGCGCACGUAGGCGGAUUGCUAAGUCAGGGGUGAAAUCCUGGAGCUCAACUCCAGAACUGCCUUUGAUACUGGCGAUCUCGAGUCCGGGAGAGGUGAGUGGAACUGCGAGUGUAGAGGUGAAAUUCGUAGAUAUUCGCAAGAACACCAGUGGCGAAGGCGGCUCACUGGCCCGGUACUGACGCUGAGGUACGAAAGCGUGGGGAGCAAACAGG